CAAAAAGAACUCUUGUCUGCCAUUUUGAAUAUACUGAAUAGAGAUCAUCAUCAAGAAUGAUGGAAAGAAGAUUGCGCAAUGCGCAUGUUUGUUUUCAGUCAGCUGUUCUUGCUGACGUCACGGUUGACUUAUUAUUCGCCCGAGCUUUUGAAAGUGAAUUCGAUUGUGUUUUCAAGUGUUGUAUUAAUUGUGAAAUUUUUUAUUUUUUAAAAUGCGUUGCGCAGUGUUCGGGUGUAAUAUUAAUAACGGUAAAAAUUGUGCUACGAAUUGGAGAUUUUUUCAUUUCCCUAAAGAUAAAGCAGUAGUAAAACAAUGGAUUAAUUUUUGUCGUCGCACGGACAAAAUUAAUGUUAAAAAUGCAUGCAUUUGUGAAGUGCACUUCGCGCCAGAAGCCUUCGAAAGAAACUUGCAGUUUGAAAUGGUUCGCGGAAUCCAAUUAAGUUGCUACCUAGGGCUUUUCCCACGUUAACCACUGCUCCUGCAGAGGCUAAUGAACGGCAAAAAAGAAUGGAGUCUCGUUUCAAAAAAGAGAUGUUAACGACAAUUUUGAAGAAUACCGCCCCUGUUGAAGUAAUUCAAGAAAACGAGGUUGGAGAGGUACUUCAAACUGCAGGAGAGGAGGUCAUUGAUGAGAAAGACGAGAAAAUACUGCAUUUGGAAACAGAAAUACAAAGGCUGAAUAGUGUUGAUAGCACUUUGGUAAGUGCAAAAACGAGCAGUUAGCAGAAGUUGAACUCCUUAGGAUUUCCAUUAAAACCUCGGAAUUCCACAGUAAUAAUUUGGAGCAAAAACUUAGCUGCAUUUUUACUAACGGCUAGGUAAUAUUUUUCAACGUGUGUCAGUUGAUCUAAACUCCACUGACCCAACUGAAAAAAAUGAUGACUUGGAGAUUCUCAACAACGACGGACUUGAAAAUUUGGCAGGGCAACCCCGAAAUUUGUGCCAAUUCAGAAAAUUGUUCAUCUUAUACUUGGGUGUAUCACCUUUCCGCAGGAGGACUCUCAAAACCAACAGAUAUGUUGUGAUCCAUCAACAUGUGAGACCCUUGCAAGCAGUAUUUGACGAUGUAAAUGAUACUGAUUUGCAUAUAUGUACAAAUUACGCCCAGAAGCACUUAGAUUUACGUAAUUUUUUAAAUUUUAGCU